ACUGGUUCUGCAAGUGCAGAGACUUGUAUGAGAUUAGAGAUUGCAAGACUAGAGCUUGAGAUUGAGCAAAUGAGAGCUAGAAGGAUGAAGUCCUCAACUAGCAGCACUGAAGGGCUCAGUGCAGAUCUGACAGAGUAUCUGCAACAAAAGAGAAGAAUUUUUGCAUUGAUGAGAAUCCUUGGGGAAUUCAGAGAUCAGGUUGGGUAUAUACAGCAACCAGCAGCAGUUCUAACAGGCAUUGUCAACUACCCAGUGUGGAAGAAAGAGAUACUCCUUGCAGCGAGGCAAUCUCAUACAAUUGAUAU
rnacentral:sRNA from 1 species